UUGCAUUCGCUUCGUUGGUUUUUAGGUUUUCGUCCAUUGCACGCCUUUGUGCCGCUGAUGCGUCGUCCGGUGAUUUCUUCCUGCUAUGUGUUUCCUCUUUGGAGUUUGGUCUCCUCUGUUCGCCGAUCGUGUACUCUAUUGAUUCGUCGGAUUUCUGUUUUGGAUAGAAUAAAUCAGCGUAUCUGUUGAUUGCCUUGGACAGCAUAAGCUUUUGAUUUUUCAAUUUGGUUUUGCGUCUUACCCUCGUAAGAUCACGGCGUGGAUGGCCUUCUGGUGUUAUCUACUUGCAGAGGUUGCCCAUCUGCUGCGUGCAGCGAAUCCUGGGCGAUGAAGGCUUACGAGGUUGUGGAUGGAUGGAUUUCAUGACGUCUCUCGUUUUAAGUACUUAGAACUUGAGAUGUUAAUAUGGGAUUCUGUCGUUGAGAGUGCCAUUUGGGAAUUGUGGAUCAGCAUGGAUGGUAAGGUACAAUUUAGGAUAUUUGUUAGUUGCUUCCUGUUCUCUGUUACCACGACCUUUGCCAAGUUGGGUGCGCUCGCUUGGCAGGUCAAAAAAAAUAAUAAAGACAUUUUUUGUGUUUUGGGGGCUCGCAUGGGGUGAUUUUGAACCCCGGGUUCCCCCUGUGUGCCUUGCGUUGUUGCUGUUCUCUACUUGCUCCAUUGUACGCCGGAUUUACCUACAAAUGCAUCUGCAACGAAACUACGAUCGAUUCCUCAAGGUACAAAGCAGUACGAUCUUUCCAAAUCCACCAGGUAUUAAUUUAUUUCUUUUGGUCAAAAGAAACAGCAGCAAAUUCAAAUCCAAGGAAAUCAUGGUCAAUUCCACAAGGUACCAAGCAAUUUUAUCUUCCUAUUCACUGAGGUAUAGAUUUUAGCUUAUGAUUAAUUGAAAUAGAAGCGCAAGUGUCAAUUUCAUCAUCUUAAUUUAUUGUUACCUAACGUUCCUACGGCGUUCAUUUACACAAUAUAAGUAUCAUUGACAUUUGUGCAGUGUUUUUAGUAAAGGAUAAUAUUGUCUAUUUUACAUUUGCUAAAUCUUUGCAUAUUAUUUUCCUCAGUAACGAUUGUUUAUUUAGAGACCCAAGUGCACUGUUCCCAAGUUAAUGGAUUUGUUUUGUAACUGUUAUCGCAAAGAAACAUUUAUUUAGCCAUGUAAGACUAGAUAUUGGUGUUUUUUAGUGUUGCGUAUUCGGAUACGCUUGCUUGCCUGUCGUACAUGUAUUUGUAGAUUAUACACUACACGUAGAAGGAUUUGGAGAUUGACGGUUAUAACAAUGGGUGACAUUGAAGAACUGCGUUGACGACUCAUCCUAGAUUCAGAUCCAGAGAUCCAGUCGUGGCUUGUUGUUUUUGUUUGUCCAUCAUCCUUGCCGUUGAAGGAGAUUUAAAGAUCAAGGAAGUUGAAUCUAAUGAAGUUGAUCAGUGAUAAUUAUAGAUUUGUAUGGAAGGCUCAUCCAAGUUCUACCACUGGCUCGAUGGUUCUGUUUGUCAAUCUUCUUAUAUCCAAGUGUUGGCCGAGUUUCUCUAUCUUCCCAUGUCGAAUGAUUUACAAUUAUCUGUGGUUGCUUGCUCCAUCGGAAACCAGAUUUAACCAACUGUCAAUCUUCAACAAAAGCUGACCAUUUCCCCGAGGAUCUUUAAGCUCAAAAUGGUAGAGCGCUCGGUCUCAUUACCCGAGAGGAUGAUGGUUCGACUCCAUCAAGAUCCGUGUGCUAAAAAUGGUGGAGGUCGGCCAGUCUAGUAUAUCAAACAACCACUAACUGAGGGAUCUCUCCUCAAGAGCGACCAUUGCCCAUGGGGAGUGAGUGGUGAUGCCCUGCAGCUGGUGUCUUCCAUUAUAGAGCUCCUACUCUUCAUAUUAGUAUUAGAAAUAACUGGUGAUACUUUUUCUAUUCGCUCGGGUUUCCUUUCCAGAAAGUUUAGAUGACCUCCACCACUUAUGGGAUCCGGCAAACUAAGAGAUAGCAAGUUAGGGCUUAGCAGGCUCUAUUAGCACUGUCACCCCGACGUUCAUGUUAAUCAUCAGUAAAAGAGAUUUAGGAUUUUGCAGAGAUAUGGAACUAGAGGAGGAAGAAGAAGAGGGUUUAGUGGAGAAGAGUUGUCUUUACUUACGAAAGAAAGAUUAUCAUACUUGUGACCUA